ensembl:lncRNA
CAGUUCAUCUGUGCUGCUGGAAGAUUUUUAAUUUGCUCAACUGGAAACGAUGAGGAGAGUUGAUUAGAUGGCAACUGUAAUUUAUUCCCAGCUGUCAGCAUUUCUGGCACCCUCAGGGAGCCUUGGGGCAGCCACAGCAGUCCUGUCCCCGCUGGGACUGGUCUGGGGUGCCCCUGAUCAGACCUGAAUGUGUUUGUGGUCAUGGCUGAUGGUGUGGCUCCUUGUGCUCCGUGAAUCACUCUCGGUCCAAGAAGCUGGGUGAGAUUCCUGUCCAAGAAGCUGGGUGAGGAAGCCUGUCACAUCAGGGACAUUCCAGGGAGAAGCAGCAUCAUGGUCUGAAGCAUCCCGGGGCAGGGAUUGGGCUCCCUCCUGGAUUGCUCAGCUGCCUCCCAACACAUCUGGAUUCUGCCACCACUCUCUGCUGGAGGAGCAGCUCUCCAAAUGCCUCCAGUGUCUCCAGCCCCUCAGACAAAGAAUGCAGUGCAGGAAGCCAAAUCCACUUUAUUAUCGUUAUCGAGGAAGAGAAAUCCUUUUCCAUAAGUGGUUCUGUGUCAUUAACAGCAAAAUAAGCAACUGCUGACAGCCAGGCUGCUCUGGAGAGCAAGCCCACAUCCAUCCUAGAAACUGGGACAUGCCAACGUGGUGAUGUCCCCUUUCAUCUCCUUUUUCCUCUCCUGCCAGUCCACUGGGGACCCUGGGAUGCUGACAGCAGCGGCAGGCGGCUGUGGAAGAGUUAAGGGUCUGUGUUUUCCACCGCCACUCUUUCUUCUCAGGGAAGACAAAUGAUUCAUUAUAUUCCCCAUCAUUUUCACUGAUGCCUGGCUGCCUCCCAUCGAGAUGUUGGGCCUGUGCCACUCAAGUCGUUAGCGUGAUCCCCAAGAAGAGCUGUGGAGAGCCGUGUUCCCUAUUUGUCUGUAGCAGCUCCUGCCAGGGGCAAGCCAGUGUGAUCAGCUCUGGUUUUCUUUCAGAUCUUCACAAAAAUGCCAACACAGAGAGAUGUGGCAUGGGAAUAUCACAGCAAUGUCCAGAUUUUCCUGGGCAAAGCAGAGGAAAUUGUGGCUGCAAGAGGUUUUGCAAACAGGUGGAUGGAGAAGCUGCCCCUGCCCACAGGAACAACUGGGACAGUCUCAACCUGGGAUUGUCACAGCCUGGGACGGCCACAGCCUGCCCACACUGAGGGUUUGAUGUGGCCACUGCCAGCUUCCAGCCUCCCUGAAGCCUCUGUCAAGCGGCCCUCCGUGCAUCAGCAGGACCCCCACACUGUGCACAGAGCACACGGAGAGGAGGAACAUGAGGAGAGCUGCAAAGAAGAGGGACAGUGUCUUUUAAGUGUCUUUUACAAGGAUAAAUAUAAUCUGUGGACUGAAGAAACUGAGUCAUACAGACGCUGUCACAAAAGGCCCCUAUUUUUGUUGCUGCUUUGCCUGGACGUGUCACGGGAGGAGGGAAGGGAUACAGUAACGUGCUUUUCAAUUUUGGCUGCAAAAUUUCCAUCAUUAUAAUUUCAAUUAAAAUUGCUCUUUGAAGCAGUUUGUCUUCAGGCUCAGCCACAUGAAUCUUUGCUUUCAUGAACACGGGAAACUAGAAAAAUAAAAAUGACCCUAUUUUAUCCGGCCCUGGUUUC